CAGUGACUCCUGCUGGCAUACACAGACACAGUUUCAUCCAGCAAGAGACCAAGGGAACGUAAGUCUGAGUCAGUCUGAGGGACAGAGCUCAGUCCUGAAGUUCUGCUGAAGGAGAAGCAUGGAGAGUCUUGAGGGGUUCGGAGCCUAUCCCGGAGGCUGCAGGCAUAAGAGGAUCCUAUUUGGGAAGCCCUUUCGGCAGAUCCUGAUGCCUUCCAGCACACCGUUACAGCGCAGCUGGUGCAUGACCAGAGGGUUCUCCAUGGCUCCUGGAGUCUUGGUCUCGUUGGGGAUGAUGCAGCGGACAAAGUGUGGAUGAGUCGAUCUCAGUUUCACAAGUGACUUUGUCACCAUCCCUGCUGAUGAUGGACCCCUUGACGUACUCUUCCUCAGUGUCCGGCACGAAACACUCCUUCUUCAUGUCAAAUAUGCGAGUCUGUGCCUCCAGACGUUCCCUGUCUGAUUUCCGCAGGUAGGAGGCAGCGGGCCCAAACUCUGCCAUUUGUGCAUCUCCCAUUGUUUUUAGCCUUUCAGUCAUGGUAAAAAGGUUGACGCAUGUUUAUGUUAACACUAGAAUACAGCACUCCAAAUUUAACAUGAAUUAUUUUAGAUAUGAAUCAGUGUGAGCACAGCACUGAGCUUAAUACCCUUCAAUUAGAAAGACUUAAUUUAUUAAUUAUGCAGAAUCAUUGAUCACUGCCAGACUCUUAUGGACUAAUGGUUAAAAGGCUGAGGCAUGUUAUUUUAUAUGGUUAUGUGGUCUGUUUAUAUGAGAUGUGAGGUUCUCAGUGCCUCUGCCAUGCUUAAUGGCAGACUGACAGUCUGUCAGUCUGAGAGUCUUCAGUAUUUCCUCAAAUUAAGCUGUCAUAUCAGAUAUUUGCACACAGCUGCAAAUCAACAUAGCUGCUGAAACACCACAUAAAUCAUCAAAACCUUUUUAAAGAGAUGUCACAUUAGUGUUUCUUAUUUUAAAGCAUUUCUUGGUUUAUUUGAUGUGUAUUAUUUAUUCGAUCUAUAUUGUUAUACAUUGUUAUUUAUAAGUUACAUGAUGACCUAUGCUGAUGUGACACACACUUUUUUCUAACAUUUGAAUGAAUGUAAAUGCAUUAAUAAAGUUAUUAUUUGAAUUUUC